rnacentral:rRNA from 1 species
GAUGAACGCUGGCGGCGUGCCUAAUACAUGCAAGUCGAGCGAACGGACGAGAAGCUUGCUUCUCUGAUGUUAGCGGCGGACGGGUGAGUAACACGUGGAUAACCUACCUAUAAGACUGGGAUAACUUCGGGAAACCGGAGCUAAUACCGGAUAAUAUUUUGAACCGCAUGGUUCAAAAGUGAAAGACGGUCUUGCUGUCACUUAUAGAUGGAUCCGCGCUGCAUUAGCUAGUUGGUAAGGUAACGGCUUACCAAGGCAACGAUGCAUAGCCGACCUGAGAGGGUGAUCGGCCACACUGGAACUGAGACACGGUCCAGACUCCUACGGGAGGCAGCAGUAGGGAAUCUUCCGCAAUGGGCGAAAGCCUGACGGAGCAACGCCGCGUGAGUGAUGAAGGUCUUCGGAUCGUAAAACUCUGUUAUUAGGGAAGAACAUAUGUGUAAGUAACUGUGCACAUCUUGACGGUACCGAAUCAGAAAGCCACGGCUAACUACGU